ensembl:lncRNA
CCUCCUUCAGGUAUGGCUCCAGCGGCCGCAGGAAAGAGUAGUUGUUUUUGGCCACGCCACUUCUGCCUUUGCAAUGUCUUCAUGGGAAUUGGCAGUUUAUUGUCCUCACCGGAAGCGGCCAGCCACCUCGGUGAGGGACCGCCCCCAUGCACUGCAAUUCCCAGCAUGCUUUUCGAACAAAUCUGAAGGCGGAGCCUAUUGUCACCCUAGCAGCGGAUCCACAUCUCGGGUUGGCUGCCUUUAGUGUGGCUUGGAAUGCGGUAUUCGGUUCAGCCACUCCUGAUGCUGAGCCUAGUCUCGUAUACCGAACACUACAGGAACUGGUUGUGUUCUAGAGAUCUUCCUGCCCCCCACUUCUCAAGUGCUGGGAUUAUAGGUUAAAGAACUUGGACUUCAGAAGAGCCAAAAUCUCCUGUUCUCAUCCCCUUUGGUUAUCUCGCUUCCCACAGACCACCAGGGUCACUAGGAAAUGGAGCUCGCUAAUUUAGGGUCGCUGUGACAUGGGAGAGACAUAGUCCAUGGGAGCUCAUAAUCUAACGAGAGACGGGUUUAUGGCAAACAAUUACAGUGUGGGUGCGGUCACAGAGAUGAGAAUAAAGUGCUUUGAUCACAUGAAGAAGUCAGUGCAGGGGAACGGAGGAUGACGGCACAGAAGGCAAAGCUAACCAAUCAACACGUAUCAACAGACACAUCUGUCUGUGCUGCUCUCAGAGGUGGUCAGAGAACCACCUUCUGGAGGUGCAUUCAUAGCUAAUCAAAGGGCUAAGAAGAAGUAAUCGGGUGUGCUCAGUCAUUCAUGGACCAUCCGGGUCAACCUUCACCUGCUCUGAGGCUCAGGGAGCAUCAAACAAGUGAGGAGAUAAAAACGAAGCAAGAGGCUGGGUAGGCAGCAUUGCACCCAUGAACUUGGAGCUGUGGAACCUGUAUACAGUCAGACCAGCCAGAAUUCCAGCAUCAAUGGGGGACUGGCUCCUGAGGACCGUGGCCCUAGCUGCAGAGAUACUGGCAAUUGAAGGCUGCCUGAGCAGAGUCUCUCUUCUUUGGACAUUUGAUGCUGGUGAGCUACCCAGAUCCAAGCGAAUGAACCCACAGCCAUGUACACAUGAGCAACACAGUUGGAUUCUGUGAGUUAUUAAAAACAACAAAAAAAAAGAGGACAUGAAUUUGGCGGGGAACAUAUUAGGGUUCUCAGAGGGGAGCUAGAAGAAGGUAGUAAGGGGUGGAUAUGGUCCAAAUGCACUGUAUUAUUGUAAAUAUUCUAUAUCACACAUAUAUGCGUAUAUUUAUUUUCCUAAGAGUAAAAAUCACAGCACUCAGCAGAAAGGAAAGAGAAGAGAUGGGCCUGACUCCAAAAGUGACUGUGUGAUCUGACAAGAGUCCACGCAAUAGAGAAGGGGCGUGUCCCCAUCACAGGUACAAUUGUACCUCUCUUGGCCAAUACCCUAUAUGUAUUAUGUAAUAUGAAGGUGUGUCUCCACCGGUGUGAGUUUCAGACCAGGGGAGAAAUCUACACUAGACUGAAGGAGAGUGAAGAGGAUCUUGCCAUUCCCCUCAAGUGACAAAAACAAUUGCUAGGGAUUUACUUUAGUGAGGAAAAGAAGAGGAUCAGCUUGUGUUUCCUUCAAGCGAGAAUGCCACACAUACCUUCCUGUAAGAGCUUUAGAAAUGGUUAAGUAUACGAUUGCAGGCCUUUUUCUCACAGUCAAUGCCAUCUUUUAUUUGUGACUUAGUUUGUGGGCGUGGAUGAGGGCGUACCCCAGAGAAUGUGCAUGAGACCUAGUGUGCCUGCCUCCAUACGUAGAGGUUAGAGAGCCACCACAGACGUCAGUUCUUGACUUCCAUCUUCUUUGAGCGAGGAUCCUGUUUUCUUUGGUUCUUUGCUGUUGCACCGUCCAUGCCAGGCUAGCUGGCCUGGCACCUCUUCAGGAUUCCUCCUUUCUCUGCCCUCGGUCUCACUGGGAUUACAGAUCACAUUACUAUGCCUGUCUUUAUAUGGGUUUUGAGGAUCCAGGCUCUGGGCUUCACCCUUAUGUGGCAAGUACUAAUAAAGUCCUAUGACUCGACUCAUCAGCUAUCAAGUUUUUAACUCUUUUUUAUACAUCUCCAAUAUUUUAUUUGCAUCCCUUUCUUAUAAAACCUUGACUUUAUCCCAACCCCUAUAUUGACCUAGUCCCAAAUCUUUUACAGAAUCAAAGCGAUAAACUUCAUUUUUUAAAGGAAGACACUACAAAAAAAAAUGUUUUUAGGAUUCAUACUUUUGGCUUUAUUUUCCAGUUUUAAAAAGUUAAUUUAUGGAGUAAGGACUAUAAAAAGAACAUGUUGGAGGUCUGAUGACAAUUUAGUAGAUUUCAGAAUUUGUUAAAUUUUCUGUUUUCAGUGGGACAUGCUCUCAAGGUAAUGCUAUUUAGAAUAUCUGCAUCUAAGAAUUUCCAUAUGUUCUUCACAGAUCCAACAUCCUGCCAGUUCUCUCUGCAGUUCUCCCUGGAGAGUAAGUAUGUGCAGUCUGUCCUGACAAAGACUGGGCCCCAAGUUGUAAGAAAAGGUUCACUUCCUGCCAAGUAAAAUAACCUUUCCCACAAAUUGAGCAACAUAAUAAAAAAGGAGAGAGAGAGAUUGCAGCCUAGAAGAGAACGCUAGGAAGAGAGGCUGGUUUCUGCAGUUAGAGGUGCUGUAGGGUCAAAAUUAAUGCUGUAUCUUAGACCAUCCUUUCAGUCUACAAUACUGCUCCUAAUUGUUAGUAUGAGCAAAAGGAAAUAAUCAGUACUGUUUUAAUAUCCAAAAGAGAAGGUUUACAGGGGUGAUGAUAGAAUACUGAAGCAAAUAUUUUAUAGUGAAGCUACCCAUUGUUUUUAUUUGUUGGUUGAUUUGUUAUAAAAUUUCAUUUCUGUAUGUGGGAGCUAAAAGCAUCCAAGUUGAAGUGAUAUCUUCAAGGCUUUUUUUCCCCUCCUGUUUUUAAUAAUUUUUCACUUUGUCUUAGUUUGAUUACUUGAACAUUGUUAAGUCAUUCUUAUUAAAAUACUAUUGGCACUGGGUGUAUCUUAGUUGGAGAGUGCUUACCUAAUAUCCACAAGACCUUGGGGGUUUAUACCUGCAUAAACAAGGAGCGGUGGCGAACACCUAAAAUCCCAGCACUCAGGAGGUAGAUGCAGGAGGAUCAAAGGUUCAAGGUUAUCCUCUGCCACAUUGGGAGUUCAGGACCAAUCUGGGAUAUAUGAGACUUUCUUUAAAAAAAAGAAAAAGUACAUCAAUAGUGUACAUGAGGCUCUGAGGCCCUGUUUUCAACACAGAUGCACACACACAUGUACACGCACACACUCAUUAUGACACUGAGAAAGGCAAUGGCUUCUACUGAAAAUAAAUUAUCUUCCAACAAUACAGUUUUUACUGCUGUGAAUGAAUUUUAUUUAUUGUCCAGCCAGCUAUGCUCUGGCAACCUUACCAUUAACUCCAGCAACCUAGAAUGUAGGAUUAUGUUAUGAGGAAGAGAGGGCAAAUUAACAAGAUGGGACUGAAUGAAAAGCUUAAAUAUUAUUUAAAUAGUCAAAACGUUUCCUGAGACUGUAAC